GAUUUAAAAUUCACUAAUUAAUGGGUGUUACCAAACACCCAUAUUUAUAAUUUCAUUAAUAAAAUGCUGUUUAUAAUUCUUAAUUUGCUGCUCAAGUGCGGGCGGCGGCUGCAUUGAAAAACGAUUUUAAUUCGUUACAACAGCUCAAAUAAGGAAAUAUAUAAAAAGUAAAGAAGCUGUCUGUUAUAGCUUCGUUAGCUGAAAGAGUUAACCAAGUUUCUUUUACAUCUUCUUAACCAACAAAAAAAAAAAAAAUACGAAAAAUCCUGUUUUUUAACCUUAAAAAAUUAAA